rnacentral:rRNA from 1 species
UACGAAGGGGGCUAGCGUUGCUCGGAAUUACUGGGCGUAAAGCGCACGUAGGCGGAUUUUUAAGUCAGGGGUGAAAUCCUGGAGCUCAACUCCAGAACUGCCUUUGAUACUGGGAAUCUCGAGUCCGGAAGAGGUGAGUGGAACUGCGAGUGUAGAGGUGAAAUUCGUAGAUAUUCGCAAGAACACCAGUGGCGAAGGCGGCUCACUGGUCCGGUACUGACGCUGAGGUGCGAAAGCGUGGGGAGCAAACAGG